CCUACGGGUGGCAGCAGUGGGGAAUAUUGCACAAUGGGGGAAACCCUGAUGCAGCGACGCCGCGUGAGUGAAGAAGUAAUUCGUUAUGUAAAGCUCUAUCAGCAGGGAAGAAAAUGACGGUACCUGAGUAAGAAGCCCCGGCUAACUACGUGCCAGCAGCCGCGGUAAUACGUAGGGGGCAAGCGUUAUCCGGAUUUACUGGGUGUAAAGGGAGCGUAGACGGCAGUGCAAGUCUGGAGUGAAAGGCGGGGGCUCAACCCCCGGACUGCUCUGGAAACUGUACGGCUGGAGUGCAGGAGAGGUAAGUGGAAUUCCUAGUGUAGCGGUGAAAUGCGUAGAUAUUAGGAGGAACACCAGUGGCGAAGGCGGCAUGCCGGCUUCCGACUGACGCUGAAGCACGAAAGCGUGGGGAUCGAACAGGAUUAGAUACCCCUGUAGUC
rnacentral:rRNA from 1 species